GACAGAGGGUGCAAACGUUGCUCGGAAUCAUUGGGCGUAAAGCGCACGUAGGCGGCGCUGCAAGUCGGACGUGAAAUCCCUCGGCUCAACCGAGGACGUGCAUCCGAAACUGCAGUGCUCGAGUAUGGAAGAGGGUCGCGGAAUUCUCGGUGUAGAGGUGAAAUUCGUAGAUAUCGGGAGGAACACCAGUGGCGAAGGCGGCGACCUGGGCCAAUACUGACGCUGAGGUGCGAAAGCGUGGGGAGCAAACAGG
rnacentral:rRNA from 1 species